CGGUUGAUCCUGCCGGACCCGACUGCUAUUUGGGUGAGGAUAAGCCAUGCGAGUCGAAUGGGAUACCUAAAUUUCCCAUGGCGAACUGCUCAGUAACACAUGAUCAACUUAACCUAUUGAGAAAGAUAACCUCGGGAAACUGAGGAUAAUAUUUCAUAGUUGAAUUGGCUUGGAAAAGUUUUUCAACAAAAGGGAUAGGGAAAAUGGUCUCUAUCCGCUAUAGGAUAGGAUCGUGUUCGAUUAUGGUAGUUGGUGAGGUAACGGCUCACCAAGCCGAUAAUCGAUAGGGGCCGUGAGAGCGGGAGCCCCGAGAUGGGUACUGAGACAACGACCCAGGCCUUACGAGGCGCAGCAGGUACGAAACCUCCACAAUACACGAAAGUGUGAUGGGGUUACCCAAAGUGUUCAUUAUUGAACUGUGGUAGGAGAGUAAUGUCCCCUACUAGAAAGGAGAGGGCAAGGCUGGUGCCAGCCGCCGCGGUAAAACCAGCUCUUCAAGUGGUCGGGAUAAUUAUUGGGCUUAAAGUGUCCGUAGCCGGUUUAGUAAGUUCCUGNUNNNUCGGGUAGCUUAACUAUCUGUAUGCUAGGAAUACUGCUAUACUAGAGGGCGGGAGAGGUCUGAGGUACUACAGGGGUAGGGGUGAAAUCUUAUAAUCCUUGUAGGACCACCAGUGGCNAAAGGNGUCAGACUGGNANNGCGCCUGACGGUGAGGGACGAAAGCCAGGGGAGCGAACCGGAUUANAUACCCGGGUAGUCCUGGCCGUAAACGAUGCAUACUAGNNGANGGUAUGGCUAUGAGCCAUAUCAGUGCCGUAGGGAAACCGU
rnacentral:rRNA from 1 species